rnacentral:rRNA from 1 species
CCUACGGGCGGCAGCAGUGGGGAAUAUUGCACAAUGGGGGAAACCCUGAUGCAGCAACGCCGCGUGAAGGAAGACGGUUUUCGGAUUGUAAACUUCUGUUCUUAGGGAAGAAGAAUGACGGGAGCGAAGGAGCAAGCAACGGCUAACUACGUGCCAGCAGCCGCGGUAAUACGGAGGUGGCAAGCGUUGUCCGGAAUUACUGGGGGUACAGGGAGCGCAGGCGGGAAGCCAAGUCAGCGGGGCAAACUACGGGCUUAACUUGUAGACUGCAGUUGAAACUGGUUUUCUUGAGUGAAGUAGAGGUUGGCUGAAUUCCGAGUGUAGCGGUGCAAUGCGUCGAUAUUCGGCGGAACACCGGUGGCGUAGGCGGCCCACUGGGCUUUAACUGACGCUGCGGCUCGAAAGUGUGGGGAGCAAACAGGAUUAGCUCCCCCUGUAGUC